rnacentral:rRNA from 1 species
CCUACGGGGUGCAGCAGUGGGGAAUAUUGCACAAUGGGCGAAAGCCUGAUGCAGCAACGCCGCGGGAAGGAAGAAGGGGUUCGGCUCGUAAACGUCUAGUAACAGGGACGAAAGAAAUGACGGUACCUGAAUAAGAAGCACCGGCUAACGACGUGCCAGCAGCCGCGGUAAUACGUAGGGGGCAAGCGUUAACCGGAAUUACUGGGUGUAAAGGGGGAGUAGGCGGCAUGGUAAGCCAGAUGGGAAAGCCUUGGGCUUAACCCGAGGAGUGCAUUUGGAACUAUCAAGCUAGAGGACAGGAGAGGCAAGCGGAAUUCCUAGUGUAGCUGUGACCUGCGUAGAUCUUAGG